rnacentral:rRNA from 1 species
UGAACUUAGAUGGGAUUACCCGCUGA